rnacentral:tRNA from 1 species
GCGUUUUUAGCUCAGUUGGUAGAGCAGGUGACUCUUAAUCACAAGGUCCAGGGUUCGAGUCCCUGAAGACGCA